ensembl:lncRNA
GAUUGUUAAGUGUUUCCCCAAGGAAAUUACUAAGUCAAGGGUGGCUCGGGGGGUGCCGCCGCCGUUUCAAUUCCAUUCAAAAAGCUUUAUGGCACGACUAUCGUGUGAACAGUAUUACCAAUGCAUUAUUUAUCCAUAACCAUACAGUGCUGAGGGAAACACUGAAGUAUAGUAUGAGGGCAGAAAUGGUUAAGUUCAGUAUGAGGUCAGAGAUGGUUAAGUGUAGUAUGAGAUCAGAGAUGGUUAAGUGUAGUAUGAGGUCAGAGAUGAUUAAAGUGUGAGAUCAAAGAAGGUUAAGUGUAGUAUGAGGUCAGCGAUGGUUAAGUAUAGUAUGAGGUCAGAGAUGGUUAAGUUCAGUAUGAGGUCAAAGAUGGUUAAGUAUAGUAUGAGGUCAGAGAUGGUUAAGUGUAGUAUGAGGUCAGAGAUGGUUAAGUAUAGUAUGAG